UUUUAACAACGUUUGUUUGAAAACGUCGCUAUGUAACAUUAUUUAGUGGUGUUUGUCUUUGCAAACGCGGCUAUUUGCUCAAAUUUAAUGGUGUUUACUUAUAAAAAUGCAGCAAUUUAACAUCAUUUAGUGACGUUUGUUCUCAUAAAUGCUGCUAAAUUUUCCCUAAAAUUAGCAAAUCAGUCAAGCCCUGCACUUUCAUUUUCAUUUCCCCCUUUUUCCCUGCCCUGAUUGUUUUCAUUUUCCUUUCUAUUUCUUUUUCUAUUUCAUUAAUUUCUCUUUCAUUUCUCUAGAUUUAAGGGGUCUAGAGGCAGUUGAAGAAGAGGUAAUCUUUAUAUUUCCUUUUAAUCUUUAUAUUUCUCACUUUAGUUUAGCCUGAUCUAUAAUUUAUGAAUACUUCACUUCACCAAGCUUGAUCUGUCAAGAAAAGCCAGCACUUUUUCAAAGGCUUUGGGGUUCAAAAUCGAAAUUAUAAAAAAAAAAUUCUUUCCAUUUUCAUAUCCCUUCAAUAAAAAGCAAUUGCGCUCAUGCUCUUUCUCUCUCUCUCUUUGCCACUCUUGAGCUUCGAUCUUCUCUUCUCACACUUAGAACGACGACGCAUUCUUAUUUAGAAGACAGUCUUAUUCUUCACUUCUUGAUCUCAAGGUUAGGGUUUUUUAUGGCAAUUUCAUAAAAGUUCUUGCUUUGAUUUGGUUUCAAUGUUUGAUUGUAUAAACUGUAUUAAUUUAAAGGUUAGGACUUUGUUACUUGCUAUCAUUUUCGUGAGUAGAUAAAAAUGAACUCUUUUUUUAUCUUUAAAAAAUGAAGAGUUGAAGCUAUUUAUUAUACAAUGAAAUUAGAUGGAUGGCUAAUUUUCUGGGAUUAGGGGUUUUAUUACUUGUCUUUAGAUGGUUGGCAUUUGCUGUUUUUGCAAAAGCCAAGAAAGUUUAACUCUCUUCUUGUUAAUUCCACUUUUUGGUUUCGUUGUUUGAAUUGAAUGGUAAUGGUUUUUGAUAAUUUUAUCGUUGGUACAUUUUUUGUUUCUCUUUUUGGCUUUGUAUUUCUUUUCAUUUUGUGGCGUAAUAACAAUAUGAAGAGGAAAAUCGAAAAAGGUUCUAGGGAAUUUAAGAUCCAAACAUACGCUGUUAACGGUACCGACAUGGGACAAUGCUCACCAAAAAAUGGUUUCAGUGAUGACAUCAUCAUUGUCGGUGCCGGUGCUACUGCUGCUCUUGCUCAUACUCUUGGCAAGAUGGAAGGCAAGUUCAUGUGAUAGAAAGAGAUUUGACAGAACCAGACAGAAUUGUUGGGGAACUGCUGCAAUCUGGAGGAUACCUGAAAGUAGUUGAAUUGUCCCUUGAGGAUUGCGUGGAGGAAAUUGAUCCAUAGAGUGCUUGUGUAUGCACUCUUCAAGAAUGGGAGAAAUACUAGAUUAUCAUAUCCCUUUCACAAAUUUCAUUCAGAUGUUGUUGGGAUGAGCUUCCAUAACGAGUGUUUCAUACAGAAGAUGAGAGAAAAAGCUGCCACCCUUCCCAAGUUAUCUGUUUUACUUCUACCAUUCAUGAUGCAUACAUAUUAAAUGCCAACUGAUUGCAGCAUCGUUAACUUUGAAAAUUUUCAUUUUACAAUUGGUAAAGGGUUACAAGAUUGCAAUUAAUCUUCUUUCACCCCUGUAUGUUAAAUUUUCAAUGUACGGCUAGAGCAAGGAAUAGUGACAUCUCUGCUUGAAGAAAAUGGGACCAUUAGAAGGGUGCAAUACAAAACUAAGGAUGGUCAAGAACUAAGAGCUUAUGCUGCUCUUACUAUGUGAUGGUUGCUUUUCAAACCUACACCGCUCUCUUUGCAACCCAAAGGUCAAAACCAAACUCAAGAGGCACCAGAAUCGGAUAACAGGACUUGCCUUUUCCCAAACUUUAAAUUCUCUGUUGUGUGUUUGGAGCAUAAAUGGAUGGGAGAAAAAGAAACCGAGUUUCAUACAGGCACCAGCUGGACAUCAAUCUCCACUAGCAGGAGAAACCAAAGUCCAGUUUCACAAUGACCAAACUCAUCUAUUGGUUGUCCAUGAAAGCCAAAUAGCCAUCUAUGAUAACAAGCUUGAAUUUUUGAGCCAUCUAAGUUGUCUACCUUGUAUCAUUUUCCUUGUAUUAUAGUUUCUCAUUAGUAUUAUUGAUAUUAUUACUUUUUCUGAGAACUUUUUUAUGACAUGACUAAUCAAAAUUUUCCUAUCAUGUUUUAAUUAUUUCAAGGCAAGAUUGGAGACUUUGAAAGCUUGUUUUGGGGUAAUCUUUCUGUCGUUUAAAAACUUUCAAUUUACUCAUUAAUCUAACUAACUAAGCUUGUU